CUGCACCCCCAACUGAACUAAGAGGAGGCUUCACAGUUACCACACACAUUAGGAUUGGCAGCAUUAGAUGGAGGAGUGAAUGGAAAAUCCAUUCUACUAAGCAAUUUAUUCCCUCUCAGCCGUCAUUGGAAGGAGUAUUUUCACACACAUGCAGUGGCUCUCAAGACGGAAGCAGCUAGUGGAGGAAAUGAGGCAGGCGUGUCUGUGAUAAAAGGGUCAGUUUGAUGAGGUAGUGAGCACCUUGAUUUCCGCCUUGUGACCUUGAUUAGCACAUCCAAUCACUCCGGGCCUCAGUUUCCUUAUCUGAAAUACUGAGAAGGGGAACCCUACUUCCUUGGAGUGGUUUGAAGAUACACCACUCAGCAAUGCCUGGGCACCCACUAAACAUCAUGGUCCCCCAAGUGACUAAGUCCGAAUCCAGGUUUCACACAUAGAUGGUUAUCUAGACCAAACAGGUCUCUUGCUUGCUAGCCUGCAUGCCAAGCCCGCUGCUGUCUCCCAGAUAGCCCAGAAAAACACCGGGUCUUGAAGGCACCUUAGCAGUUCAGACUCAGACCCAGGACAGGAGCACCUGCCACCUCCUGGGAGGACCAGUCCCAGCCUCACCCUGCACUCUUUCCAAGGCUGCUGUUCUCUUCCUGGCUGGUGUGAAUGAAGAAGUCACAGCAGAAGGCAGACCUUACAGAGAAUCAGACCUGUGUGGGACCUGCAGGGGACCUCUACAGUAUCUCCUGCAGAGCCGAGCGACUCCCUCCAUGAAGACUUUGAGCUUGUGAGAGGAAGGAGAGGCCGCUGAGGCUUUUCCUGGGGGGGGGGGGGUCUGCAAAUGGGGCUUUUUCUCCAUUCAUUUAUUCAUCUAUAUUGUUGAACCCCCUACGGACCAUUCCAAUCAGAAACCAGGCAGGGCCCCCAGACAGCACUUUUCUAGAGAAAACGGCCGUCAUUCCUAAGCCCCAGGCAGCAGUUAUGUUCUGACAUUUCCCAGCAAAUUUGAAAUCAACAUCUCCGAGUGUGCCCCCAGUUUUUAUGGGUGAUGGCAGCUCAACAACCCACUUUCUUCAGCGCUAACUCCUCACUUUGGGGGAUAAUUUGACAUUUCAUUUGGUCAGGGAGUUCAGUGCUUAAAAUAUACAAAACCUCAGAGUGUCUGUCUAUUCCAGGCCCAGCCGUUUGCAGGUCUCACUAUUCCAGAAACCUGAGAGCCAGUGGGAAAGCAUGAUUUGAGAGUGUGUCUCAGUCAUGGUUUAUAGUAUAGUAACACAGCAAAAACAAACCAAUACAAAACCUAGUGCUUUCAUCGUGUGUGUGUGUGUGUGUGUGUGUGUGUGUGUGUGUGUGUGUGUGUGUGUUCAUGGGGUGUAUGUAUAUGUGUACGGGAGUGUAUGUGCACACUUGUGCAGAGGUCAAAGGUUGAUAGGUCUAUGUCUGGUAUGUCUUCUGACACACUCUGCCUCUAUCUUUUGAGCCAGGGUCUCACACUGGAACCUAAGUUCAUCAAUUUGGCUAGAAUGCUUGGCCAAUGAACCUCAGAAAUGUGCCUGUUUUUGUCCCACCCACCCCACCUCUCCUGCUGGCAAGCACCACUAUAUCUGUUUUUUUUUUAAAAAAAAAAUAUGGGUUAUAUGUUUGUAUGAGAAGCACCCUACAAACUGAGCUCUCUUCCCAGCCCCUGGACUCAGUACACUGAUGAGAUCUAAAUGUCCACAUUCAUGCAGCAGUACUCAAAAUAGCUAGAAUAUGGUUCGAUCUAAAUGUUCCACAACAGAUGGAUAAACUGUAGUAUAUAUACACACAGUAGAAUACUGUAUUAAAUCAUAAGAAGAAUGAAACGCUGUCAUUUGUGGCACCCUCGAUGAGUCUGGAGGACGUUACAUUAAUGGAAAUGAGGCAGACACAGGAUAUUAAUCAGGGAUCUCUAGAAGAGCAGAGCUGAUAGAGUAAGUAUAUUUUAAAAGGGUUAUUCAGAUUGGCUAUGUAAUAUGGUCUGGGCAGUCAAACAAGGACUACCUUGCAUCAGAAAGACUGAGUGAGACCCCAGCCGUUGCUCAGUCCAUGAGGCUGAAUGUCUCAGCCAUCCCAAGCUGGUGCUGAAGGCCCAUUGGAUUUCUGCAGGGCUGCCCCCUACUCCACAUUGGAAGUCAAAGCUGGGUCCUAGUAUCAGUGAAGGAUGCGGUAGAGCCAACAAAGUAGAUGAACUUGCCAACAAGAGUGAAGGCAAGCAGGUAAAAAGUAAAAAGCAAACAACAACAAAUCAGGAGGACCACUAACAUUCAGAAUAGGUCUCCCCACUUCAAAUAAUCUGAUCAAGAAAAUUCCUCACAGCAGUUCCUAGAGGCCUCCCCUUAGUUGAUUCCAGGUUGAACCAACCGCCACACAUAAUUAGUUAAACACUGUGUGGAAUCUAGAGAUGCUGGAGUAGAAAAUACAAUUGUACACAGCAACAGGACAGGAGAGGACAGGGUGAGGAAAGCCCCAAGGUUCAAAGUUACAGUCAGGAGGAAUCAUUGCUAGGCUUCUGUGGCACAGUUGAACGGCUACACGCAACAAUAUCACAAUGCAUAUUUCAAAAUACGUGGAAGGCAAUGGGGACCAACAUUGCCUCCCCUUCCUCUCUCCCUCCUCCCCUCUCUCUUUCUGUCUUCCUUUCUUUCAACAGGUUCUUUCUAUGUAUCCCAGGCUAGCCUAAAAUUUCCAACCCUCCUGUAUCAGCCUGCUGAGUGUGGAUGCCAGGAGAGAGAAUUUCAAAUGUGUUUUACCACCAAAAAAAAAAAAUGUUUGAAGUAGUGGGUAUGUCUGAUCAGAUGGUAGUGUCAUGCAUGUGAGCAUCAAACGUCACCCUGGGUACUAUACACAUGUGCAAUGAUCAUGAGUGAUUAAAACAAAUUUGCAAGAUCA